ACUCAAAUGAAUUGACGGGGGCCCGCACAAGCAGCGGAGCGUGUGGUUUAAUUCGACGCGACGCGCAGCACCUUACCAGGGCUUGACAGGGACCUGCACACCGUGGAAACACGGCUUCCUUCGAGGGUGGUCCACAGAUGCUGCAUGGCUGUCGUCAGCUCGUGCCGUGAGGUGUUGGGUUAAGUCCCGCAACGAGCGCAACCCUCGGCGUCAGUUGGCUCUUUCUGGCGCGACUGCCGGCCGCAAGCCGGAGGAAGGUGAGGAUGACGUCAAGUCCGCAUGGCUCUGACGCCCUGGGCUACACACACGCUACAAUGGCGGCGACAGCGGGCGAUGCCAACCCGCGAGGGGGAGCCAAUCCCUGAAACGCCGCCUCAGUUCGGAUCGGGGGCUGCAACUCGCCCCCGUGAAGCCGGAGUUGCUAGUAACCGCGGGUCAGCACUACCGCGGUGAAUAUGUUCCCGGGCCUUGUACACACCGCCCGU
rnacentral:rRNA from 1 species